GGCCUCGGUAAGCGGUUCCCUGAACUUGGCGCCCAGGGGGAACUUAAGGUCGGAGGUCUCUCCCGGACCUGGGCAGGUCCUGGCGCCCAGGAGCCCACUCAUUGUGCUCUCGGCCACCUCCAACUCCGCCCAGUCUUAAAUAGCCCUCCGCGCGCUGGCCCCGAGUCCCGCCUCCCAGAAGCAGGGUCCAAUCCUGUCCUGGAGGGCGCCCUCUCUUGGGGACCUUCUGCAGUCAGGAGACAGCUGCAUCUUGGGGAGGGGAUGUCUCUUAUGUUAGGCGUUUCCUCAGACAUCCUUGGCAGGACCGCUUGCUCUGGAGCCUGUGGGGGAUGGCUGUGAAAAGGUGUAGGAGCCAGAGAAAUAGGCCAGAAGACAAGCGCACCCCGACACCCACUGUUUGCCACUCCUGUCUUUUGAAUCCCACCUCCUCACUCCCAGUUCCUUUCCACAUCUGCACUUUGGGGAGAGACUCCUCUAGGGUUACUGGUCACUCUGAGGGCUGCUGCAUUGGCCUCAGCAAUAAAGUUAAGCUGGG